rnacentral:lncRNA from 1 species
AAAAAAUGGCUAAUGAUGAGGUGAUUCUGUUGGAUUUUUGGCCUAGCAUGUUUGGUAUGAGGCUAAGGAUUGCACUUGCUGAAAAAGAGGUUAAAUAUGAGUACAAAGAAGAAGAUUUGAGGAACAAAAGUCCUCUGCUUUUGCAAAUGAAUCCUAUCCACAAGAAAAUCCCUGUUUUGAUUCAUAAUGGAAAACCAAUCUGUGAGUCACUUAUUGGAGUUGAGUACAUUGACGAAGUUUGGAAGGAUAAAUCCCCUUUGCUCCCUUCUGACCCUUAUGUGAGGGCACAAGCUAGGUUCUGGGGUGACUACAUUGAUAAGAAGGUAAAUUCAUAGCCCUUUCCCCUUUUCAUUUAAGUAUUUAUAUGGAAUAGAUUAAUUGUUUACUUAUAUGGACACAAAUAAUUGAUCUCUUCUUGUGAGCUAACUUUUGAAGUUGUUUGAGUUAGACAUGUGUGUUAUAUCUUUACGUGAUAUUAGAGUCAGAUUCAUUGUUGUUUGUGCUUUUAAUUUAAACUCAUGUUGAACCCAAAAAUGAAGGGACGUAAAAGUGAGUUAGAGUCACACAUCAGUUGGAGAAUGAGCUGGCGGUCUACUUAGAUGAAUUUAGGCAAUUCUCUCCUUAUGAGUUAGUUUUUGAGGUUGAGUUAGGUUCAUAUAUCAUAUAUUUAUAUGAUAUUAUAGUCUGAUCUAAUCCCUAUUUGCACUUUUUUCCCAAGCUCCAUUUGGGCCUUGACGUGAAGAGGGUGUUAGAUCCCCACAUUGUCUCGUUAUAUAGUUUUAAUUAAUCAUCACUUCACAAGCUAGAUCCCCCCCCUCCCCCCUUUCCACGCUCUAGAUGCUAAGUCAAAGGCCCGGGGGCUGGGGGUCUUAGAGUUUCACAUUAGUUGAAGAAAUAGAAUAUUGUCUGUGUUUGUUGAAAUAUAAGUGUUAACCGUUUUGUUUUUCUGUGUUUGUUGAAAUUUCAGCUGUAUGAUACAGCGAGGAAGAUUUAUUCAGCAACGGGAGACGAACAUGAGGCAGGUAAGAAAGAUUUCAUAGAAAUCCUUAAAGUGUUGGAGGGAGCACUUGGAGAGAAGCCUUAUUAUGGAGGAGAUAACUUUGGUUUUGGGGAUAUUGCUCUGAUUGGGUUCUACUGUUGGUUUCCUGCUUAUGAGAUUUAUGGUAACUUCAGCAUUGAGGCUGAGUGCCCAAAGCUUGUGGCUUGGGCCAAGAGGUGCAUGAAGAGGGACAGUGUGGCUAAAACUUUGCCUGACCAACAUAAGAUCCUUGAGUUUGCAAAAAUUCUUAGGGAAAAGCUUGGACUUGAAUAAACAUAUGGUUAUGCAAUUAUGCAUAUCAUAAUGUAUUGAAAAAGGCACUUCGUUGUGCCUUUUCUUGAGUUGUUGUUUCAAGAUUUGAAAUGUUUGUUUGGUCAUAGUGUAAGUUCUAUUCUACUUGUAAUAAAGGACAAGCUUGUGUCUUGUUGAAUGUUGGCUUUUGUUAUGAGAAGUAAUUACUUUUUUCAUGAGCAUCAUCUAACACAAUACUCUCCCGCUGUUGUGUAGACUGUAGUGUAGAGUAUGAUAUAGUGUUUAGUUAUGUUAAAUGAUUAAUAUUUAAUAUAUAUGGAGAGUAUAGUAGUAAAUUAUUAUCGUCUUAAUGAGUUAUUGGGUAGGUUAUUGGUUUACCCAAUAACCCAAUACUAAAAAUCGAUAUCAAACCGAUAAUCCAAUAAUGUUUUUAUAGAACCAUUAAAAACCCGUUAACCCAAUAACAUUUUCAAUUCGAUUUAAUGGUCGGUUUAAUUUUUGCACACCACAACUUGAUGACUAAUAAAAGUCCACUUCUUUGUUAAAAGAGUUCACUUUGUGAGUACACUAGUGGUAUGGGUAAUUAAUAUGGAUAUCCACUCAUAUUUACCUAUUUUAAAUGGGUUGGGUAUCCAACUCAUUUAAAAAGGGCAAAAAACUUAAAUAUACAAUUUAAAGUCUUUAAUUACAUCAAUAUAGCAAUCCUUUUUUUUUUUCAAUUAUAUAACAGUAUUUUUUUUUUCAAAACUAGAAUUUUUAUUUUUAAAAAAAACCUUUACCAAGUCCGCUACAAAUAUCACGUAUCCCUUAAAUUUCUCCAAUUAUUUUACUUUCCUUGAUUUACUCCAAUUUGUUAUAUAUUAUCUCCUAUGAAGAGAGGUUUCAUACAAAAAUAAAACUCCUCUUCUCUGCUAAGAUCGACGAUCCAAAAUGCAUACCAAUAGUUUUUCAAUUCUAAUUCAACACAGCGGACGAUGGGACUCAGCAGCUAAUUGAUAAAAAACAGUUUAUAUGAUGGGUUUUUUCGUGGUUGUAUUUGAUUUUUCACAACAUAUCGAUUUUAAUCUUUUUUGUAGUUAUUCUUUUGGUUUAUUUUGUCGGUUUUGGUGGAAUGUAAAUUCAUAUGAUUUGUUUGAUGUUCUGGAGCAUCAAUAUGCUUUAAUUAUUAAAUAAAUAUUAAAAUUUAUCAAUUGUUUGUGGAAUAAUAUUGAGUUUUUCACAGCAUCUGGGUUUUUAUUCUUUUGGUAUUGAUUUGUUGUUUUAUGUUAACGAUUUUGGUGCAAUUACAACAACUUCAUAUGAUUUUUAUUGUAAUAUGAUGUGUCGAAUAGGAUUUUUUUGAAAAAUUUAGGUUUAAUUGAUUAAUGUAACAACUUAAAAUAACAUCAUAAAUUGUGUGUUUAAAUUGGUAUGUUGAAUGGCGUAUGUUAACAGAUUGUAUCAAUAUUACUUUUGAUAUGUGAUAUGGUGUACACAUACCCACUGCAAGUAAGAUUGUAGGUGCAUGUAUAUGUGUAUUUUGUUGUAUUAUUUGGUAUAUAAAAUACAAUAAUAAAAUAAUAUUUUGGUACAUUGUUUGGUUUAUUUUGAUUAUCUGAAUUGGUGUAUAUAAUAAAAUUGAAAAAUUGAUAAUAUAUUGGUACAUUUUUGGUGUAUUUUAAUUAUCUGAAUUGGUGUAUAUAAUAAAUUGAAAAAUUGAUAAUAUAUUGGUACAUUUUUGGUGUAUUUUAAUUAUCUGAAUUGGUGUAUAUAAUAAAUUGAAAAAUUGAUAAUAUGUUGAUUGGUAAGUGAUCUUGUACUUAUGCUUGAAUAGUUGAUUCUAUGAAUUGGUGGUAUGUGUUGUUGUAUUUUUUGGUCUAAAUUGUAAUACCUUAAACGUCAGAAUACUUAUGAUAUGUUUAUUGGUAUGAUAAAUUAUUUGGUAUACCUGUUAGUGUGAAUUACCACAAGUAUGCCGAUUUAUUAUUAGUACAGUAAAUGGUGAAAAAGUUACUCACUUACUAGAGUGUAUAAAAAAAACCUUAGUUGUGUGCCAUCAAUUACCAAUGUAACUACCAAGAUGUUUAAAUAUAUGGAUGUAGUAACUGCAUUCUGCAAAAUUUAGCAAAUUAUUAAGAGUUUGUAAUUCAAUACAUAGUAAGUAUUAACAUUACUAUAUUAUACAUGGUAUGUUUUGGUAUUAUUAUUGAUAAUGUAUGUUUUAAAUUGAAGGUACGCUCAUCAACAGAAUACCUUCAUACAGUUAUAAAUGGUGCAAAGAGGUAUACAGUAUGUUUGAAUACUCGUAUGUGCAGUUGUGGCAGAUUUCAACAUGAUGAGAUCCCUUGUAGUCAUGUAAUUGUUGCUAUCAGAUAUAGGAAUAAACAUCGCGAUGACUACUAUUCCGCUUAUUAUAGUAACAAGAAUUAUCAGGAUACAUAUGCAAUACCAAUAGAACCCUUGCCUUGCGAAAGCACUUGGGAUAUUCCAUCACAUGUUUCCGUAAUUGUUAUUAAUGGCUUUCAUGAACUCAUUUAAUAAUCGUGUUGUGAAUGAGCAAGUGAGGUUGGUAUAAUUCUAGCCUAAUAUAAAAAUAAUUAAAAACUAGUUAAUGUGAAGAACUUGGUUACCAGAAAUAAUAGACUAUGUUAAUGUAAAAAGUUGAUUAAACCAAAUAUUUGAAAAAAUAUAGGACUAUUGAAAAAAUGAGGUGUGUUAAUAUAUUGGUUUAAUCUGAAACCAUAAUAAAUACAAUUUGUUAAAGGAAAAUUUUGGUGAACUUACGUUAAAAUAGGAACGAAAAUUGGUAAACAUAUUCACAUGAUAAUGGUUGUAUGUAGGGAUCAUAUGUUUGCAUUAUAUACCAACCUAAAACAAUAAAUUUGAAAAAACUACUUAAAGUUAAAAUCAUGGUUUGAAUGAUACCAGAAAAAAACUCACUCUGUUAAUGUACAAAAAUUGGUUUACUUAUAAUAAAAACUACACAAAACUUGGUAAACUUAAUGGUAUAUAUAGCAAACUAAAAUAUUGAAUGAAAACAAAUAGCACAAAUAAAACAAAUCUGAUAUAAUAUUUGAGUAAUGCUAAAACCAAUUGCAUAAUAAUGGUUGUAUAAAGUAAUUCAAAUGUUUGAAUUAUAUACCAACCUAUAACGGUGAAUUGUAAAAAAAACUAUAAAAGGUUAAUAUUUUGAUUUGGACUGUUACCGGAAUUAACAUAUUUUGUUCAAGUAAAAAUAUUGUUAGGCGUUAGAAUCUGAUAAGAAGAAGAUGGAUGGUUAGGCGUUAGAAAUUAUGGUGAGGCCUCUGGUUAAUUGGAAUGACAAGCGAUUAAAUGAAGAAGAUGUAAGGUUUAAGAGAUAUGGACGAAUAAAAUUGAAGGGUUAUCUCAAUAUACCGCUGAAAAAAGGAAUCCUAAUAUAUCUUGGAAAUAACUCAGUUAUUGAUAAUUGUACUAAUUUUAUUGGUAUCAUAAAAAUCUUUAAAUAAAAGGAAUAAAUCAAUAUGGACAGAAAAAAUGACUACAAAACGUAAAAAGGAAAAUAAAAAAAUACUGAAACGUGUGAAAAGGGAUUUGUAAUAUCAACUUUAUUAUAAAAGGAAUCCCAAUAAAUUAUACAAAACAUAAAAAAGGAAAUAAAAAAGAAUAAACAAACGUGUGUAUGUGGGUCUAUUUAAUGAGAGAGAAUAUAUGAUAAAAUUAAAUACCUAAUUACACUCCACAUAAUAUGACACGAACUACUAAGAGUCAGAGAGAGAAAAUCUGGUAAUUUUUUUUAAAAGUAAAAUAAAAAUUAAAUAUUUUGUUAUGUAUGUAAUUUAAAAACUUAGUUUGUAAUUAAAUAUAAGUAUACUGAUAUUUUGUUAAUAGAAGUCUUAAGUAGUAUAGUUUUGUAAUUUUUCCUUUAAUAAAAAUGGAUAAAAAUGAAUAAUACUAAUAUUACCCAUUUAAAAGUGAGUAAUUAAAUGGAUAAAAUGGGUAAAUGAUGUUCUUUCACACACAAAAAAAGAAGUGGUAAAGGGUGGGGCAGUAAGAAAGUCUAUUUUUUUUUAAAAAAAUCUAUAUAAAAAAAUGAAACUUGAUUGAUAAUUUGAUUCAAGUUGUUGAGGGAAAUGUUGCAUAAAUACUUGAUUUUUAAAAUAAAUUUAUUCACUUCGAACACAACUUAUGACAUACGUGAUUGAAAUAAUAAAAUUUGCGUAUCAAUUUACAAAUUUUGACUGGUGUUGGGAAGUCACAAUAUAUGAUUGAAGUGCAAUCAAUUUUUAUUUAUGUACUUAAGGCAUGUAUUUCGUAAGUGUAAAUGUUGGUUAAUUGAUUAUUUCUUUCGACUAUAAACAAAAACUUAUUUUGUUGAAUUUCAACAAUUUAACACAUGAUUUAAUGCACAAAUUUACUUCAAAUGAUUAUAAUUUGAAAUAUAAGUUUCAAAAUUAUAAAGAACAAAUCUCAAUUAUAAAUUGAUCAAAACAAUAGAAAAACUUGCCAGCUCAUUUUACAAUAGUAAUGUACUUAAGAUGCACGUGACUGAAGUGCAUUCAAUUUUAAAGAGAUAAGUAUCAAAAACAUACUUAAACAAUCAUUUUUUUUUAGUUUCAUAUCUAAACUAUUGAGAGUGUGAAUUUCAUAAAUAAACUAUCACUUUUUAGUUUGAAAAACACACCUCAAUGGUGUGUGUAAUACACACUCUCUUUUAUUUUUCUUACCCCACUUCACCCACCUCCUCCACGUACCCCCCUCNNNNNNNNNNNNNNNNNNNNNNNNNNNNNNNNNNNNNNNNNNNNNNNNNNNNNNNNNNNNNNNNNNNNNNNNNNNNNNNNNNNNNNNNNNNNNNNNNNNNNNNNNNNNNNNNNNNNNNNNNNNNNNNNNNNNNNNNNNNNNNNNNNNNNNNNNNNNNNNNNNNNNNNNNNNNNNNNNNNNNNNNNNNNNNNNNNNNNNNNNNNNNNNNNNNNNNNNNNNNNNNNNNNNNNNNNNNNNNNNNNNNNNNNNNNNNNNNNNNNNNNNNNNNNNNNUGGUGGAGUGCGGUAAGAAAAAUAUUUUACAUUUUAUUUUAUAAAAGAAAUAAUAUUUUUUUGGAUAAUAAUUUUAUAAUUUUUAAUUUUUAAUUUUAACUAAUACUAAUAAUUUAUUUAAUUUUGUCAAGAUUGAAUGUUUUGUCCAUGUGGAGUGUGAUGUGACAAUUUUUUAAGAUAAAAGUGAGGGUGUAUUACACACACCAUGAUGAGGGUGGUAUAAAAGAGAGAGGUGUGUUUAUCAAACUAAAAAGUGAUAGUUUAGGUAUGAAACUCAAAAAAAAGGUAUAGUCUAGGUGUGUUUUUGAAACUUAUCUCAUUUUUAAAAUGUGUGUUUGAAUAGUAUAGGGAUGACAAUGAGACGGUGCGGGGUAAGUUGAGCUUAACUCACAAAAAAUUUAAUCCGCCCCGCAAAACCCUAUUUUUCAUUUUCAACCCGCCCCGCAUAAAUCUGUUCCGCAUGAACUCGCCCUGCAUAAUUUUUUUAAUAUUUUCUUUUUUCUAGUUAAGUUUGAUACUAAAAAUAAAUUUAUAAAAAUAAAUUCAUUUUUUUAUUAAGUUGUAUUAAUUUAAUAGGAUAAUGACUUAUUAUUUACUUUUAGAGGUCAAUUGGGAAACUUUUAAGAAAUUAAAUUAUUCUUUAUUGAACCAUUUCCAUUUAUUAUCUUGAAUAUUUUAGUAGCUUUAAAGAAAUUAUCCUAAUAAAUAAUGCUCUAUCACUCUUAUAACAUGUAAAAAAUUAAAAUUAAAUUUAAACCCACAUAAAAUCACAUAUACCCGCAAUCAGCCCCGCAUUAGUUUUAAAAAAUCCACUUCAACCCACCCCGCAUCCCACCUGCCAUGUACAACCUUAAACCCGCCCCACCCCGCAUCCGCCCCGCCCCAUUGGCAUCCCUAUAGAUGUUCAAUUUAUUUUACCCCCAAAAAUAAAAAUAUAACAGACUUGUUUUACAUAAUGUUAAUUAACCAACAUUUAAAACUUUUCCAGUAACAUCCCUUUAAUUUAAAACUUACUCUCAUAUUUGAAAUUCAAGAUCACUUUUUUUAAAAAAACAUUAUAUUUUAAUAGCUAUAAAUUUGAAAAUAAUAUUGUUUCCCAUGCAUGAAUAUGAAUAAAAAAUUCAAUCAUACAACUAGGGGUAUUUUAUAGUAUGAUUUCAAAGUGAAAAAUGCCCAAAAAGUCCAAGAUAAUAGGUAAGCCCAAACAUAAGAAGUCCAUAUCUUUCCUCUCUCUUUUUUUUUUAAAUUUAAUUUAUACUUAACUAAAAUCUUUGACAGCAUAAAUAUCAAAUAAUUGUAAAAUAAAUAAAUAAAAAGUCUAGCUUGACAGUGUAGUUGACAUACAUUUCAAACCCCAACCAUUUUUCCGUUUUAAUUAAAAGCUUGUGAAAGGGACUUUGAUAUUUUUUAAAAAAGUAAAAUAAUAAACCUUAAAGAAUAUACACAUUGUUUCUUUGUACAACUCAAAGAUAUUGAUAUGAACGUGUAAUCUGAAGUAAUUUGUAAAUACUUGUAUUGCUAUAUUACACGUUUUAAGUUUUAUUCUUCGUUUUAUGUGGGUUCUUAGCAGUUAAGGUUUUCAUUAUUUGUACAGGUAAAACUAGUUGUAACUUUUUUACAAUUUAUAUAUAACUCAAAAAACUAUUUUUGUCCUAUUUUCGUGUAUGAGCAGAGCUAGAAGAUGUAAGGAGAUAAUCUGAAUCUUGUUUGUUAAAAACUUACAUUAUAUAUGAUAAAAAAAAAUAGGGAGUAGAUGUAGUACAAAGGCUACAAUUGCAUGUUACAACUAAAACAUAAUAAUUAAUAUAGAAUUUCUGAUGUGAAGUAGAAGUAUUGUGACGUGUGAAGUGUGUAGACCGUAGUGUAGAGUAUUGAUAUAAUGUCUAGUUAUGUUAAAUUAUUAAGAGUAAAUUUUAGGUUUAGCAAAUAUAAAAAUCAUACUUGUAUGCUAUAGUUAUAGUUUGUAUAAUUGCGCUCCAUAGCAAACUUUAUGUUUGCUAUGGCUAUUAAUCUGUACAUUUCGGUAUACAUUUACAUAAAAAAUAUGUAUUUGGGUCUAUUUGUAUAUUUCGGUAUACAAAUGGGAUGACCAAAAACAUGGAAUGUUUGCUGCAAAUUACAAAUAAAAGAAACUAUGGUUGUAACAUUUAAUUUGAAUUAAUAAUCGGGUCUUGCAUUUGUAUAUUUCGAUCUAUUUGUAUAUUUUGGUAUACAAAUGGGUCCUGCAUUUGUAUAUUUCGAUAUACAAAUGGGUCCUGCAUUUGUAUAUUUCGGUCUAUUUGUAUAUUUCAGUAUACAAAUGGGUCCUGCAUUUGUAUAUACAAAUGGGAUGACAAAAAACAUAGAAUGUUAUUUUGGGUAUACAAAUGGGUCAUGCAUUUGUAUAUUUCGAUAUACAAAUGGGAUGACAAAAAACAUAGAAUGUUUGCUGCGAAUUACAAAUAAAAGAAACUAUGACUAUAACAUUUAAUUUGAAUUAUUAGUUUACUAUUUCAUACAAUUUUCUCAAUUAUUAAUAUUUAAUAUUUAUGAAGAGCAUAAUAGUAAAUUACCAUCGUCUGGGUUAUCGGUUUACCCAAUAACCCAAUACUAAAAAUCGAUAAUCCAAUAUAUUUUUAAUAAAAUCAUUAAAAAUUUGUUAACCCAAUAAUCCAAUAGCAAUAAUCUAAUAACAUUUUUUUUAAUUCGAUUUAAUGGUCGGUUCGAUUUGUGCACACCAAAUGACUAAUAAAAGCCCACUUCUUUGUUGAAAGAGUCCACUUUAUGACUAAAAACUUUGACAGUUUGAAUAUCAUAUAAUUAUAAUAUAAAAUAAAAAUAAAUAAAAAGUCUAGCUUGACAGUAUUGCUUUGGAAUAUAUUUCAAACCCCAAUCAUUUUUCCGUUUUUAAUUAAAAUAAGAUACACAUAUUGGCUAUUGCACCAUUAGUCCAGACACCGUCCACCCCAUACUACACUGUACCUUUGUACAUUCCAAAGAUAAUUGAUUUAAACGUGUGAUCUUAAGCAAUUUCUGAAUUCUUGUAUUAUUAUACGUAUUAUCAGGUAUAGUAAAUGUAUUUUUUUCAAAAUAGUUGUCAAUUUAAACAAUUAAGAGAAAAGAAUAAUUAUAUUUUUCUCAUUUUAUGCUUAACAUUAAUUAUUCUAAAAUUAAGAGGCACUCAAUAAAGAUUAAAGAGUUAAUAAUGAACCACCAAAAGAUAAAUAAAUUGAACUCUACAUGACGAAUGCAAUGACCUAUAGGCAUUGGCGAGCCACCUUAUCAUUAGGGGUUCAUCCGAACCCUCUUUUGCGGAAAAUUAUAUUAUAUUUACAUGAUUAAAGUAAUUUUUUUAGGUAUAUAUAGUAGAUGUCGAACCUCCUUCGACUGCUUCGUGUGUCUAUUUCUUCAAAUUUUGAACCCCUUAUCAAAAAUUCUGGCUCCACCGCUGCCUAUAUAGGCUAUAGACCAAUUGAUCACGUGACUAUUUAGAACACAAAAAAAUCGAAAAAGUUAAGGCAUCUACACAACUAUAUAUACUUCGUGUAUGUAUGUACAACAAACAAAUCAAUACUUUGGCAAUUUUGAGAAUUUUUUUUUCUUAAUUCUUCUUAACUUGUUAAUUCAUACAAAAAAAAAGGCUAAUGAUGAGGUGAUUCUGUUGGAUUCUUGGCCUAGCAUGUUUGGUAUGAGGUUAAGGAUUGCACUUGCUGAAAAAGAGAUUAAAUAUGAGUACAAAGAAGAGGAUUUGUGGAACAAAAGUCCUCUGCUUUUGCAGAUGAAUCCUAUCCACAAGAAAAUCCCUGUUUUGAUUCACAAUGGGAAACCAAUCUGUGAGUCACUUAUUGGAGUUGAGUAUAUUGAGGAAGUGUGGAAGGAUAAAUCCCCUUUGCUCCCUUCUGACCCUUAUGAGAGGGCACAAGCUAGGUUCUGGGGUGACUACAUUGAUAAGAAGGUAAAAUGAUAGCCCUUUCCCCAUUUUCUGUUUGGUAUUUAUUAGCCAAUCUAAACUAAUUUGGGAUUGAAGCAUUGUUGUGUUGUUAGAGUGGGUUAGAGUCCCACCUCUGUUGGAAUAGAUUAGUUGUUUACUUAUAUGGACAUAGAUAAUUCUCAUUCUUAUGAGCUAACUUUUGAAGUUGAUCGAGUCGCACAUUAGUUUGAGAAUGAGUUGGCGGUUUACUUAUAUGAAUUUGAACGAUCAUUUCCUAAGAGCUAACUUUUGAGAUUGAGUUAGGUAUAUCUUUAUAUGGUAUUAGAGUCAGAUCCAUCCCUACUUUCACUUCUGUCCCAAAUUCCAGUUGGGCCUUGACGUGAAGAGGGUGUCAGAGCCCCACAUUGUCUCGUUAUAUAGUUUUAGUCAAUCAUCACUUCACAAGCUAGACCCCCCCACCCUCUCCGCACUCUAGAUGCUAAGUCGUAGGCCUGGGGGUGUUAGAGGUUAAAUUAGCUGAAGAAAUGAAAUAUUGUUUCGUUAUAUAGUCUUGGUUAAUCCUAUUCCUCACUUUGUAAACUAGGACCCCC